AUUUCAGGAAAAAAUCUUAGUCCAUCGGAUCUAGAGAUUGAAGCAACUUGCAAAAGAAACAAUAACAAGAAGGAGAGAACAACAAAAGGUAUAGACUAAUCAAAGAGAGAAAACCAUCAUCUUCUGUAUCAUCUUCUCCUUUAAUCAACUCACAUCCCAAUUUUAAACAACACAUUAUGGCACAAGACAGCCCCAGAGAGUAACUCUGGAGGACUAUUCUAGUUUCUCUACAUCUCAGUACUUCACCAGCAUAGUUCGGACAACACUGCUCCAGACCUCAAACUGAAGGCUCUAACUUUGCUCCAGACUUAGAUAUUGGAGGCUCCAACUUUGCUCCAAAUAUUGUUCUCGGGUAGAUGUGGAUCGUGCUGGGCUUUAACCACAGGAUCUAUAGAAGGAGCCAAUUUUCUUGCCACCGGAAAGGUCGUAAGUCUCAGUGAACAACAACUCCUUGACUGACAACAACGCGUAUUAGAUAUCACUAUCCUUAUUCCAAUCCAAUAGCAAGGAGUCACCAAAAUAGUGUGAUUCAUGACUUCAACAAAUGCGUCAAUCUUUGCAUCUUCCACGCAACCAUGCUUGCCUGUGUCUCCUACCAUUUCAAACAAGCUUGCUAGUCCUUGUCUCAAUGUUUCGUCACCAAGAAGUUACCUUGUGAAGAAAAAGCAUGUGAAAUGGGAAAAAAGAGCAUGGAAAUUAAAUAAUGAAUAGGUAGGUGGUGGGGAUGAUAUUCAAGUUGGAGUGUUUGUGCUUUAAAAAAAUUUUGUUUCUCCAGAAUAAAAGUUAAUUUUGGAUAACAUUAUUACAAUACCAUUAUCUACAAUCAUUGUUUACAAGUUCAAGCUUCCAUCAUGGGCUAAGUUUGAAAUAGGGAGGGUUGCUGUCUAUUGGUAAACCAUGAAUGGCCUCCCUCCUACCUCAAAAUUUUGGCAGGAAGAAAAGCCCUGGAUUUGAGAUUUUCAUUUGGUGAAAUUGAGGUUCUUAACGAAAACUUGGACUUGAUCAAGAGACAGAUAAGUCUAGAAGGUGUGGAAAUUUUAUCUGCAGCAGAUGUCGAUUCCUUGGCCAGAGCUGGACCAUUACCUUCUUUACUAAAUCAAAAUCCUCCUUCACCUGGAAAGCUAACUGUCAACUUUUUAACUCGGUAGCUACUGGGUCUAGGUGAGUAUCUGGCAUUUUCCCCUUUCUUAAAACUAGUUCAUAGUUCGUACUUUUUUUGGGGUCAUCUAAACACAAGUAUAAUUUAUUUUUACUCGAUAUAUCUGUAGACAAAGAUGAGUUACCAAACCUUUAGUGUUAUAAAUUUUUUUAUUGGCUUGAUUUGAGGUAUAAAUCCAGAUAUUGGGGCUCAAACAAAUAUUACCCACAUUAAUGGAUAUGAUUUUUCUGCUUCCAA